rnacentral:rRNA from 1 species
GACGAACCGUGCGAACGUUGUUCGGAAUCACUGGGCUUAAAGGGCGCGUAGGCGGACUGCCAAGUCCGGGGUGAAAUCCUCCGGCUUAACCGGAGAAUUGCCUGGGAUACUGGCGGUCUUGAGGGAGGUAGGGGCACGCGGAACUUCCGGUGGAGCGGUGAAAUGCGUUGAUAUCGGAAGGAACACCGGUGGCGAAAGCGGCGCGCUGGACCUCUUCUGACGCUGAGGCGCGAAAGCCAGGGGAGCGAACGGG